GGCAGUGUGGUUUAAUGCUUUAAGAGCUGGACUAUUACUCUGGAGAUCAGGGUUCAAUUCCCUCGCUCAGUCA